AGCGGCGGACGGGUGAGUAACGCGUGGGUAACCUGCCCUGUACACACGGAUAACAUACCGAAAGGUAUGCUAAUACGGGAUAAUAUAUAAGAGUCGCAUGACUUUUAUAUCAAAGAUUUUUCGGUACAGGAUGGACCCGCGUCUGAUUAGCUUGUUGGCGGGGUAACGGCCCACCAAGGCGACGAUCAGUAGCCGACCUGAGAGGGUGAUCGGCCACAUUGGAACUGAGACACGGUCCAAACUCCUACGGGAGGCAGCAGUGGGGAAUAUUGCACAAUGGGGGAAACCCUGAUGCAGCGACGCCGCGUGGAGGAAGAAGGUCUUCGGAUUGUAAACUCCUGUUGUUGGGGAAGAUAAUGACGGUACCCAACAAGGAAGUGACGGCUAACUACGUGCCAGCAGCCGCGGUAAAACGUAGGUCACAAGCGUUGUCCGGAAUUACUGGGUGUAAAGGGAGCGCAGGCGGGAAGACAAGUUGGAAGUGAAAUCUAUGGGCUCAACCCAUAAACUGCUUUCAAAACUGUUUUUCUUGAGUAGUGCAGAGGUAGGCGGAAUUCCCGGUGUAGCGGUGGAAUGCGUAGAUAUCGGGAGGAACACCAGUGGCGAAGGCGGCCUACUGGGCACCAACUGACGCUGAGGCUCGAAAGUGUGGUAGCAAACAGGAUUAGAUACCCUGGUAGUCCACACUGUAAACGAUGAUUACUAGGUGUUGGGGGAUUGACCCCCUCAGUGCCGCAGUUAACACAAUAAGUAAUCCACCUGGGGAGUACGACCGCAAGGUUGAAACUCAAAGGAAUUGACGGGGGCCCGCACAAGCAGUGGAGUAUGUGGUUUAAUUCGACGCAACGCGAAGAACCUUACCAAGUCUUGACAUCCUGCGACGUGCAUAGAAAUAUGUAUUUCCUUCGGGACGCAGAGACAGGUGGUGCAUGGUUGUCGUCAGCUCGUGUCGUGAGAUGUUGGGUUAAGUCCCGCAACGAGCGCAACCCCUAUGGUCAGUUACUACGCAAGAGGACUCUGGCCAGACUGCCGUUGACAAAACGGAGGAAGGUGGGGAUGACGUCAAAUCAUCAUGCCCUUUAUGACUUGGGCUACACACGUACUACAAUGGCGUUUAACAAAGAGAAGCGAAGUCGCGAGGCAGAGCAAAACUCAGAAACAACGUCCCAGUUCGGACUGCAGGCUGCAACUCGCCUGCACGAAGUCGGAAUUGCUAGUAAUCGCAGAUCAGCAUGCUGCGGUGAAUACGUUCCCGGGCCUUGCACUCACCGCCCGUCA
rnacentral:rRNA from 1 species